rnacentral:tmRNA from 1 species
GGGGGUGUACAGGUUUCGACAGGGUGAUUGAAAAACAGAUUAAGCGAGGUGUGAUUUUUAUCUUUUGUAUUCACAAUAAAUAAGCAAAAGUAAUUUUUUAAGUGCAAACUUAAAUUCUAAUGCUAACUCUGUAGCAGUUGCUGCUUAGUUUAGCCGUUUGAAUAAUUAAUUCUCCUUGUGGUUAUUAUUCAGGCGUCAGUUACAUGAGGAAUUUUGUUAAAAGGGUGUGCGGUUUAGCAAAAUUAUUAGCAUGCUGGUUUUAAACUUUUUGUUAGUUUUUAGUUUAAAAUAAGAUUUUAGAAUUAACUGUUCUCGAAGAAAGAUUUGUUUUUAUUAUUUUGGACGCGGGUUCAAUUCCCGCCACCUCCACCA